rnacentral:rRNA from 1 species
GUAGGGAAUAUUGGACAAUGGGCGAAAGCCUGAUCCAGCCAUGCCGCGUGAUAGAUGAAGGCCCUCUGGGUUGUAAAUAUCUUUUAUCUGGGAAGAAACUCCUCUAUUCUUAGAGGCCUGACGGUACCAGAGGAAUAAGCACCGGCUAACUCCGUGCCAGCAGCCGCGGUAAUACGGAGGGUGCAAGCGUUAUCCGGAUUCACUGGGUUUAAAGGGUGCGUAGGCGGGUUGAUAAGUCAGUGGUGAAAGCUCCGGGCUUAACUUGGAAACUGCCAUUGAUAAUGUCAGUCUUGAAUGUCGUAGAGGUAAGCGGAAUGUUGCAUGUAGCGGUGAAAUGCUUAGAUAUGUUACAGAACACCAAUUGCGAAGGCAGCUUACUAUGCGAUAAUUGACGCUGAGGCACGAAAGCGUGGGGAGCAAACAGGAUUAGAUACCCCUGUAGUCC